GAUGAACGCUGGCGGCGUGCCUAACACAUGCAAGUCGAGCGAGGGUUUGCUCAGUAUUGAGUAUUCUAAGACUAGAAUGUUCAAUUCUGAGCAAAACCAAGCGGCGGACGGGUGAGUAACGCGUGGGUAACCUGCCCUAUACACAUGGAUAACAUACUGAAAAGUUUACUAAUACAUGGUAAUAUAUAUUUGCGGCAUCGCAGAUAUAUCAAAGUGUUAGCGGUAUAGGAUGGACCCGCGUCUGAUUAGCUAGUUGGUGAGAUAACUGCCCACCAAGGCGACGAUCAGUAGCCGACCUGAGAGGGUGAUCGGCCACAUUGGAACUGAGACACGGUCCAAACUCCUACGGGAGGCAGCAGUGGGGAAUAUUGCACAAUGGGCGAAAGCCUGAUGCAGCAACGCCGCGUGAACGAUGAAGGUCUUCGGAUCGUAAAGUUCUGUUGCAGGGGAAGAUAAUGACGGUACCCUGUGAGGAAGCCCCGGCUAACUACGUGCCAGCAGCCGCGGUAAUACGUAGGGGGCUAGCGUUAUCCGGAUUUACUGGGCGUAAAGGGUGCGUAGGUGGUCCUUCAAGUCGGUGGUUAAAGGCUACGGCUCAACCGUAGUAAGCCGCCGAAACUGGAGGACUUGAGUGCAGGAGAGGAAAGUGGAAUUCCCAGUGUAGCGGUGAAAUGCGUAGAUAUUGGGAGGAACACCAGUAGCGAAGGCGGCUUUCUGGACUGCAACUGACACUGAGGCACGAAAGCGUGGGUAGCAAACAGG
rnacentral:rRNA from 1 species